rnacentral:lncRNA from 1 species
UGAAACAAAAUGAUUGAGAGCCAUGUUUAUGAAUGGCACAGGUCUAAUAAAAGGUUGUUAGUGUGUUCUUACAUGGACGAUCAUCGAUCGCUUUGUAUGACCGAACUAACUGUUUAAUACCGAGUUGUCUAGAUGUUAUGCUAUAUCUAUUUUAGUGUCUCCCUGUUCUAUGUUUGUUGAAGAUAUAGAAAUAAGGAGUUCACAGCUGCUGCUGAUGUUGCAGCUUAAAGGCUGACAUGUGAAAAAAGUUGAGCUAAGUAGAAGCAUCUCCUGGGGAGCGUGAUGAAGUGCAGCUCACACAACAUUGGGAUGAAGAACUGGUACAAAAAUGAUUGAGAGGCCAUGUUUAUGAACGGCACAGGUCCAAUAAAAGGUUGUUCGUGUGCGAAAAGUGCUAAUGGAAGCCGCAUAGGCAGGCCCACACAUGCAAAGCACCUGGGCAUCUUACACGCAUCUGGCAUGAACGCACAAUAUCGGUCGCUGUAGAACUCCUGAUCUAUGCGUGUGGAGACUUUACGUACCUGUGCAUGCAUGCUGUGGACGAUUGUUGGCUAGCGGCAUUUCCCACGUUUCAAAAACAUAGAUGAUGUUGCAAAAUUCUAAGACUUGCGAUGUGUGAAACUAUCCGACACGUGGUUGGCUCUUGAUGUGAUGAAUCAUGAGGCGUAAAUCGGCCGGAUGAUUCUAAUCAUUUCCCAUAAGGGUAUAUGAGCGGUGGCGUAGCCAACGGUAGGCCGGUCGGGCAAUGGCACACCCAGAAGUUUUUGACUUCUAUAAACACCUAAUCGGCCCAUCAUCUGAUGUGAGCAGCCCAGAAAACAUCCAGGCGGCUCCGCAUGAGAGGAGACCUAGACCAGGCCCACAAAGGCUAUAUCUCUGCUGAAGCAUCUAAAGUAAUGAGUCGACCCAUUAGCUUAUACCGAAAACAAAUAAAGUAGAGAAAAGGGUGGUGCGUGGGUAUCAAACCCAGGAUCGUUCAGUUGCAGCGCACUGCCGCUAGCUACGGCACAAUCGUUAGUAUGUCACGACCUAGUUGAAGAAUAAAGAGCCGGUCUUUCAUUUUUUUUUGUUUUUAUCGAUUUUUCUUCGUUUCUUUCUCCAUUCUUACUAAUUUUUUCUUGGUUUUCUUUGUUUCUUUUCUGUUUUUCACAACCUUUUCUAUUCUUUUGUUUUUAUUCAUUUUCUUUGGUUUUGUUUUUUUUCUUUUGUCAUUUUUCAUUGGUUUUCUUUUAUUUUCUCUUGGGUUUUCAUUGUUUUUCUAAACACAUUUUUGGUAUAUAUCUAAAGUAUUCUUCUAAUACAUGUUUAAUAAUUUUCAAAUACAAGAUUAAAAAAUUUAUAUCCACAUUUAACAUUUUUUAAAUGCUUGAUUAACAUUUUCAAAUACAAGAUUAACAUUUUUUUUGAAUGCAUGAUCAACUUUUUCCUGUAAAAACGUUGUUUUUCAAAUACGAGCUUAACAUUUUUAAUACACAGUCAAUAUUUUUUCUAUACACACUUAACUUUUUUUCAAAUGCUUGAUUAACAUUUUUUAAAUACAAUUUUAUAAUUUUUUUCUAUACAUGGUCAACUGUUUUUCUAUACAUGUUUAACAUUUUUCAAAUGCUUAAUCACAUUUUUUGAAGAUAUGGUCAAUAUUUUCUGAGUAGAAUAUUUUUUUCAAAUGUUUGGAUUGUCAUUUUUUAAAUACAUUUUUCUUUAUACAUGUGAAACAUUUUCUGCAUAUGCAUUUAACAAUUUUCAAAUGCUUGGUUAACAACUUUUUCCAAAAAAAUUACGUAAAGGUUAUUUUUAAUAUAUUUAUUUAUAAUAUUUGGAAGUAUAAGUGAAAGUGUUUUUUUGUAAAAGGCAUGUGCAUAGUGUUCAAAAAGGCAUAUGCAUACGGCGUGCACAUAAUGCGGGCUUGCUCCGCGAGCCAAGGUCACACCAUCUCUGAUCGACAAAAAAGAAACCGCAACACCUCAAGGAUGCACCGAUAAUGAAUCUAGAUCGACCAUCUGGAUCCUGCAUCAUACCGAUACCUACAUAGAUUUCAUUUGAAAACUGGCAUAUCAUAACUUGGGAAAAUACGUUUACCUGUUUUUGAGAAAUUUGAAAAAGUUCAUGAACUAAAAAAUAUUGUGGGAUUUUCUUAUUCUAAAAAUACGUUCAAAAUAAUUUGAAACAUGGAAUAGAAAAAUUCAUGAAUUUUAUAAAAUGUUUACAGACUUUAAUCACGAAAUUAAGAAAAAAAGAAAAGGAGAGAAAAACCAACUUGGCUUAAGGGGAGUGGCGUUCUGCCUGUGGGUUGGGCCUUGCUAGCGGGGCGGCGGGCCACAUUCGUUCGUUGGAUGACCAGAGAAGAAACCAGAAGAAGAAAAAAAGAAACGCAUUUUUGGUUCCCUAUCGGACGGAUCGGAGUUGGCGAGCGACGGAGGAACCCUAACCUAUAUAAGAGAAGAAGAGCUAUUUCGCAGGCAACUUCCGAUGGCGGCGCUUCGAGUAGCGGCGAGGAGGCUCGCCGGCGGUGGCCAGACGCCGGCGGUGGCUGUGGAGAAGGCGCAACGCCGGUUCUUCCCGAGGCUCUCCCAGGUCAACCGGGCUAUGUCCACCACGUCCUCCGCUGCUGCUGCCGCAGACACCAAUGUACUUUACCCCCGUCGGCUCACGAAUUUCAUAUCUUUUUUGUGCGAUUGUUUCUGCAGCCUGGACUAGCUUAUGCUGUGCUAAUAGCUCGUUCGAUAAUCCAACUCCAUGUUUCGCCAAACAGCCAGGGCAUCUCAAAAUUGAAUCCAGAUCUUGUGUAAAAAAAUAACAAUUGUUUUCGACCUGACAAGAUGCAUAAUCCGAGGACCGAGUAGCAAAACCCUGUUUCUAAAUGCUUUGAUCCAUGGACCAGCUAGUACUACUGUUUUCCCGUUGCAUGAUCAUUUUUGUAGGAACUCAUCUUAUGCUCUACUGCAAUCUGCAAAGCAGGGCUGUGAAGAUCGGGAGAAACUCCUGACAGAGAUCCAUAACAUGACAGAGGAGCUGUACGACAAGGUUUCGCAUGCGCAAAGGUUCUACAAUAUCCCUGGUAGGGAAGGCAAAAAUAUCAGUCGGCUGCACGAGGAGCUUGCCACGCAAGUGGGGCCUAGACCCGGCGAUGACUCCUGGUAUGUAUGAUCAUCUUCUGUUUACAAGAUUUUUGUGGGGUUAACAAGUUAUAUCUCCUCUGAACCCAAUCUGCAGGCGCAUGUUACGAUUGAUGCAUACAUUAACGUAUUACGGUGGAUUUGCGUCUUUUAUAUUCACCACAUAUGUGCUCACGAGCAUGGCCAUUGGUUCGAUCGUUGAAUUGGAGCCAGAUGAAAAGCAAUGGAUCAAGAAGAAAAGAGGGGAGGCACGCAAGCAAGUGAAACAAAAUGAUUGAGAGCCAUGUUUAUGAAUGGUAAAGGUCCAAUAAAAGGUUGCUAGUGUGUUCUUGCAUGAACAAUCAUCGAUCGCUUUGUAUGACCGAACUAACUGGUUAGUACCAAGUUGUCUAGAUGUUAUGCUAUAUCUAUUUAGUGUCUCCCUGUUCUAUGUUUGUUGAAGAUAUAGAAAUAAUGAGUUCACAGCUGCUGCUGAUGUUGCUGCUUAAAGGCUGACAUGUAAAAAAAGUUGAGCUGUAGUAAAAGCAUCUCCUGGAGAGCGUAAUGAAGUGCAGCUAACACAACAUUGGGAUGGAGAACGGGUACUCCCUCCGAUCCAAAAU